rnacentral:rRNA from 1 species
UACAGAGGUCCCAAGCGUUGUUCGGAUUCACUGGGCGUAAAGCGCGCGCAGGCGGCUAUCCAAGUCAGUGGUGAAAGCCCGGAGCUCAACUCCGGAACUGCCAUUGAAACUGUUUAGCUUGAGGACGAGAGAGGUGAGUGGAAUUCCCAGUGUAGAGGUGAAAUUCGUAGAUAUUGGGAAGAACACCGGUGGCGAAGGCGGCUCACUGGCUCGUAUCUGACGCUCAGGCGCGACAGCGUGGGGAUCAAACAGG